AGAGCGAACGCUGGCGGCAGGCCUAACACAUGCAAGUCGAGCGCGUGUAGCAAUACACGAGCGGCAGACGGGAGAGUAACACGUGGGAACGCGCCCUUCGGUUCGGAAUAACUCAGGGAAACUUGAGCUAAUACCGGAUACGCCCUUACGGGGAAAGAUUUAUCGCCGAAGGAACGGCCCGCGUCGGAUUAGCUAGUUGGUGAGGUAACGGCUCACCAAGGCGACGAUCCGUAGCUGGUCUAAGAGGAUGAUCAGCCUCACUGGGACUGAGACACGGCCCAGACUCCUACGGGAGGCAGCAGUGGGAAUAUGGACAAUGGGCGCAAGCCUGAUCCAGCCAUGCCGCGUGGAUGAUGAAGGCCUUAGGGUUGUAAAGUCCUUUCAGCGGGGAAGAUAAUGACGGUACCGCAGAAGAAGCCCGGCUAACUUCGUGCCAGCAGCCGC
rnacentral:rRNA from 1 species